rnacentral:rRNA from 1 species
UACGUAGGGGGCUAGCGUUGUCCGGAUUUAUUGGGCGUAAAGAGCGUGUAGGCGGCCAUGUAGGUCCGGUGUGAAAACUCGAGGCUUAACCUCGAGAUGUCAUCGGGAAACCAUUUGGCUAGAGUCCGGAAGAGGAGAGUGGAAUUCCUGGUGUAGCGGUGAAAUGCGCAGAUAUCAGGAGGAACACCUAUGGCGAAGGCAGCUCGCUGGGACGUAACUGACGCUAAGGCGCGAAAGCGUGGGGAGCGAACAGG